UACGAAGGGGGCUAGCGUUGUUCGGAAUCCCUGGGCGUAAAGGGCGCGUAGGCGGCUUUUCAAGUCGGGGGUGAAAGCCUGUGGCUCAACCACAGAAUUGCCUUCGAUACUGUUAGGCUUGAGACCGGAAGAGGUGAGUGGAACUGCGAGUGUAGAGGUGAAAUUCGUAGAUAUUCGCAAGAACACCAGUGGCGAAGGCGGCUCACUGGUCCGGUUCUGACGCUGAGGCGCGAAAGCGUGGGGAGCAAACAGG
rnacentral:rRNA from 1 species